rnacentral:rRNA from 11 species
CGGCCCCUAAGGCGAGGCCGAAAGGCGUAGUCGAUGGGAAACGGAUUAAUAUUUCCGUACUUGGUAUAAUUGCGAUGGGGGGACGGAGAAGGCUAAGCAAGCAUGGCGAUGGUUGUCCAUGUGAAAGUGAGUAGGCUAGCGACUUAGGUAAAUCCGGGUUGCUGUUAGGCUGAGACACGAGACGAGCACCCAAGGGUGUGAAGUUGCUGAUGCCAUACUUCCAGGAAAAGCCUCUAAGCUUCAGAUUAUACCGAAUCGUACCCCAAACCGACACAGGUGGUCAGGUAGAGAAUACUAAGGCGCUUGAGAGAACUCGGGUGAAGGAACUAGGCAAAAUCGUACCGUAACUUCGGGAGA